ACCAUGUAUAUUGUGAUAUUGAGAGUUGGGUUUUGUUCUUCAAUGGACAGUUGCCACUUGCUAGAGUUCAUGGUAUGUAAUAGAUACAUAUGGAUGUGCUAAUUUGUUUGUGGAUACAUCACUUCAUAUUUAAACUCCCCCCUGUUCUUCGUCUCUUAAUGCAUGUAUGUGGGCUGCCAGGCAAAGCCUAGCUUGAAGUUGAAUCCGCCCGAAUAGCACCUGCCCAACAAGGACAUAGCAAUCAAACCAUUGCAAAUGAAGAAAAAUGGCAUCAUUAGAUGUUUGGGUUUUGAGUAGGUCGAGAGCCCCAAGUUUGAAUUUAAUGUCAUUUGGCUGAACCUCCAUCAUUCUUUCUUUACCUCGUCGAGAGAGAUUUGGAGAUGAAGCUUUCAAAAGGACCAUGGAUAGCUACAGCAGCCAUUGCAAACCCUAAAAAUCUCCCUUGAGUUCAUCACAUCUUCUUCUCUGUAUCCAAUUUUGAAUCAUUUGUUCAAACUCUUAAGGAAGAAGGAUCUUGGCAGACACAAUUACAUUGGUGGAAUAAACUCUACCAAGAGCUUUUGCUUUGUC